AUGCCUCGGUUGCCGUCCCCCACUGUUGUGAUCACGCAUGCAUGGCCGUUGGCUUCUUAUGCCCACGCCCUUCUCGCUACCCCUUUUAGCAUGCAUACCCCUUGCCUCCAUCGUCAUAGAUCGGCAUCCCCUCCCAAACGCAUCAACACCAUGAGGCGUUGCUUCCGGUGCUUGGCCCUGGAUCACCAAGUGCGCGCAUGCAGGGACCCAUUGCGUUGCAUGAGAUGCUGGCGUGUGGGCCACACCCAGCGCUCCUGCACUGCUAUUUUACUCCCCUUGGCUCCCCCAUUGCCAAUCCACAACCAUCAGCCCGCCAUUGCCAUAGCCCCCCCUCCUCCAAGCCCUCAAGAAGUCAUUGCUGUGCAGCCCUUGGCUUCUCAAGCUGCCAUGGCCGAUUUCAUCCCCCUCGAGCCCACCUCCGACGAUGACGAGCAGCAGCUCUCCCCCGUCCACCAGCCAUCCCACCGCGUGUUCUCCUUCCCUGAGCAAACCGAGGCGGCGGAAGUCGAUGAUGAGGUCCUAGAUGAGGAAGAGGAUCCGAACGAGGUAGAAUUCGAGUCGGGGGACGAGUCCACCGACUCGGAUGAGACCCAAUCGGUCUUCACCUCUUCUCCACCUAGGCAUCGUCGCGGCUUCUCGAACAUCUUUAUGCCUUACACCCCCAUAGAGCACUUCCAAAACCUAGCCUAUGCCCUUGUCAACCAACCUCACCCCUCCCCACAGGCCUGCGUUCGCCGUGCUCUCCAAACCGGGGCGGGCAACCCCCCUGUUCUGAUCCGGGCCUCGUCCUACGGGGCUGGCCUUGUGGUUUUUAGGUCGGCCUACGAGAGAGAAGUUUCCAUCCUUUCCAGCCCGCUCACGUGCCCAAUCAACUCCGUCAGCCUCGUCCGCCAUGAAGAAAUGGAAAAUCGCUUCCUUUUCCGCCUCGGCACGGUUUCCGCCCUCAACAUCGAGGACUUCCCGAUAGAGUACUGAUUCACCCCCACGAUCAUCAACUCCAUCGUCCCUUUCGCCUACCCCAUUCAGAUCGACCAGGUUUGCCUCACAGGGGUCGAAUACUCCGCGGUUCUUGUCUCAGUCAAAAGCCGCAGCCUUACCGACGUUCCUCACUCCAUCCCAGUGCACGGUUUCUCCGGCCUGGGUGCCAUCACUUCUGUCCUCGUUGUCCACUCCCAAGAGCUCCCACCUGACCCUACUUUCGCCAUGCCGGACUCUGACGAUGACAGCAAUGGCGGGGACGGCAGAGACGGUGGGGACGGUGACUUCCCUGUCGGCAUGGAUCCGAACCUCUCCGCUCCUCCGCCACCACCCACUGACGAGGGCCAUGACGACCGGGUGGUGCAGACGCCUGGCGGUCUCACCAUGAUGGCGAACCACAAGCCUUUGGUGUGUGCGGUGCUGCUCACGGCCCAUCCUAAGUCGGUGGAAGUUAAGCUCUUCAAGGGCUUCUACGACAUGCGCGUCAUGGGCGUGCGCGGCGAGUGCGGCUUCUACCGCAUCCCCAUGAGUCCAGCGGGCUCGCCCAAGCUCAUCGUGGCCAACCUCGCCACCUGCUCCAUCGGCUUCCUCGACAGGGUGGCGACCGUGGGGCCUUCCCACACGCCUUUCAUGGACGCCGAGAUCAUCUGCCACGACUUCCGCGGCCGCGACUUCACCCAAGGCUGUGACGGCAAAGACCAAGUCAUGGAAGCUGUCGAGCGCUUCGGCGCCGGCCUGCCUCCCAUCCAAGUCGCGUCACCACUGCCCAUCACUAGCGCCGACCUGACUGGGGGGCCAGGGCCGCUGCAGCCGUCUCCUUCGCCCCCUGGCACGCCCGUCGACCUUCCCCCACGUGCAGCGUCGCCGACAAUCUUCUACACCCGCCGUAGCACCCGUAUCAAGAAGGGGGAGAACCCCAACCGAAUUGACGAUGCUGGAGAAGGCAACUCUCAGGAAGAAGCUCAAGCUGGAGGGGAAAAAGGCCGCUCCAAGCCCUGCGGCUCUGCUGCCGGCGGCUGA
rnacentral:rRNA from 1 species